rnacentral:lncRNA from 1 species
GAAGAAAUCUGCCAACACCCAUUGCUCCAGCAAGCACGAUGGGAACCCAUGGGCAACUCCCCUUCUCCCAUCAUCCCCCUUUAGACAGUCACUUCUCAGAAGUUUCCAGAAAGUUCUAAAAACUGGAGGCAGCAUCAUCAUUAUAAGGGAAAGAGAUGAAUGAAUGUGAAAGCAGCCUGAAGACGUGCCUGUUCUUCUCAGACCAUCUCAGUUUCGGGGCUUGAAAGAUGCUGCUGUGCCUUGUUACCUGGGAACUUGCUUUAUUCUCUGUGCCACAGAGAAAACAAUAAAAAUCCCAUCUCUUCAUUAUCUGGGCUGAUAGAGGAAGAGGCUUAGCCAACUAAACAUGAUGGAUAAGACGAAAGUCAUUUAUCAUAUUUGGUUUUGAGAUGUGGUUAGAGACACAUUCUGAGACACAAAACUAUCUUUGCCCAUCUGGAAACCAUCCCAAACCCUCCUAGCCUGGCCUUAGUCCCAGUCUGGGGUUUGGCCACACUGUGGAAGAAAGCCCUGGGCUGUGUAGAUAAACCACAUGAGGGUAAGCUACUGUUAACUCUGUCAUUAUUCAUAAUAUUCAAUUCAACAACCAUGUAUGAGCACAACCAUGUGCAAGACAUUGUGUGGACAAAGCAGCCUACGGGCCAUACAAAGAAAGACUUCUUAUUGUCCCCAGAAACAUAGGAGGAGGCAGGAGUCUGUUCAUAAUUAUCCAUAUGACAUGAGCAACAAUAAAGAUACUAAUAAAGUGUUAUGGAGGCUGGGCACGGUGGCUCACAUCUGUAAUCCCAGCACUUUGGGAGGCCAACGCAGGUGGAUCAUUUGAGGUCAGGAGUUCAAGACUAGCCUAGCCAACCUGGUGAAACCCCGUAUCUACUAAAAACACAAAAAUUAGCUGGGUGGUAGUGGCACGCACCUGUAAUCCCA